CGCUUGUCUUGCAUGCAUUACCAACUUGCAUUAUGGUUUCAGCAGGGAUACAUUAACCAGUUCUAUAGUUUUCAUGGUCACCUUUUUUUGGGUUAAAUAUUGUUUUCAUGCCCUUGUAUGCUAAGAAUGGUUGGUGAGAAUAAAAUUUGAUGCCCUCUAAGUUACUUAGUUUUAAGUCUGAAAAUGGUGGUGAGGCCACAAGGCUUGCUAAAUUGUAGCAUUUCAGUGUUCAAAAUUGAAUCGUUUAUUUUCCUUCUUUUAUCCUGAAAAUGUAACUAUCAAGAAGUAGUUCAUCCAUUCAUCUCUUUUAUGUUGAUUUCAUCGGUGAAAAUUACUAGGGCAUUAGACUUAGUUCUAGAAUCCAGAGUAAGACUAGAAAUUGGUGGCCUGCUGCCGGUAUCUCUUGUACAAUUAAAUAUAUGUUGGAGAAAUUGCACUUCAGACUUAAUUCACGGUUAACCCUUGUGUUUGGAAUGGUGUGACAAUGAACCUUUAUCCUCACAGAAACACACAAGUCCAAGAUCACCAAAUUGGUACAUCCAAUGGUCUAGUGUGCUUUGGGAAUACACUGUUAUUCCUGUCAAAUAUUGUUGAUAGCUCAUGUGCUUUAGUGAAAGGGCCCUCCACCUCCAACUGCGACGUUGGGGUUUGAGUCAACAAGGGAGCAAAUUAGGAAAGCCACUCUGUCCGACUCUUGUCUUUGUGAGGGUGGGGGUUAUGUACCAAUUGUUCAUUGUAAACAAUGCAUAUGAUUGUAGUGAUAGAUGAAAACGUGAUUACUUCUUAUGGUAUAUUUCUCAUACACUCAUUUUUGAUGAAGAUCUUUCCUUAGACCAGUCCAUUGGUUGGACAAUUGGUGGUUCUUGAGAAAGAUAUUGUGCAGAUAAGAACUUGUGGUUGUUGAAUUUGGCUAUUUUUGCAUUUGGUGAUUUGAUAUCUAUUUUUAGCUCCUUAAAUCUCUAUUUAGUGAUAUCUUCUUUUAAAGGUAAUGAUUGUUUUUGUUCUGCCUAGACAUUUGAUUUACAAUGUCAGAUUUGGAAUUUCUCCCGACUCUGCUUGAGGUAUUCAGCUUUUAGUAUAUGCACUUUGUGCUGUUUGUUUGUUGAAUCGGAAGAAUUGGUAUGAAAAAAUAGUGCUAAUCUGCUCUCAACAGUGAGAUGAAAUUUUAUUCAGUACAAGAUUUCACUCCCUAGUGUAAAAGGAGAGACUGGAGUGAGUACUGUCGAAAUGAUAACAGUAUAGAAGUAUGAUAAUUAAGAGUGCUCCUAGAGUUUUUCGUACUCCUCACCCGGGGUUGGGUGAGGCUAGGUAGGGCUAUCCAUAGAUGAUUUGUGUAUUGGAUUGUGUCUCCCUUAUGGUAGUUUUUGGGUGAGGCUAGGUAGGGCUAUCCGUAGAUGAUUUGUGUAUUGGAUUGUGUCUCCCUUAUGGUAGUUAUUUAUGGUACUUACUGUAUGCUAUUAUUUGCAUGCUAUUUUAUUUAUGGUUCUUAUGUUUAGAUAAUUAUUUACGCUAUUUCUGUUGNNN
rnacentral:lncRNA from 1 species